CGGGAAAAGAGAGGCACAGAUAAACAUUUGCGUAUUCAAAGUUGUAUUAGUGUGGUUCAGAAUAAUUACAGUUAGUGUCUAUUUUUGUUCAUCUUCAAAAAAUACAGAAGGGGGUUAGUGCAUAGUCAAUAAAAAGCUUCACUGGGCUGUUGCUGAUGUAAUUGUUCACGUACACAAUGUUUGUGCUCUCCAGUUACACUCUAACCCCAGAAAAAUCUUGGGCUUGUCAAGACAAUUUUUCUAGAUCUGUGAGGCCGAAGAUGGAUCUGAAGUAAUCCUCCCAAACCCUAAAAACAAGGGAGAGGUUGUAGGGGUGUCGAUUCUACUGUGCAUCCACACCUUUCCGUAUAGUUCCCCUGAAUCUGGAGUGGCUUUCUCAUGCCAACCUGUCAUAUUUUAGGCUGGCAAGUUUUAAAAAGAGAAUGUAACAUACUUGCACUGUCCAGUCAGAAUCAAGCAGGAAAAAAAAAAAUAUAUAUAUAUAUAUAUGUAUGUAUGUAUGUAUUUAACUUAUUUUUUACUUUUUUUCUUUGUUUAUAUCAUUUUGGGGCUGUAGUGCCAGAGGAAGCAGUGAUUCCAAAUACCUGAUUUUCUCAACUCUGUUCAACUUCUUCCAGGAUGACAAGAAUACGAUGAUGCAGUUUCUGAGACCACAAGGACCUCCUGCUAGUCGUAUUUGUUAUGGAGAAAUACCGCAUGGCUUAGCUCACCAGAAAAGGUCUUGGAGACUUUUGGACAGAAGAUGCCCCAGGAGCACCACAUGCAUAAUGGAAUGCAAGUUAUACUCUCUAUGUCACUACUUUAAAUCUAGCCUGUAGUUGAAAGGAUCAAAGUUAAUGAGUGCUAACAGCUGCUUAUUUGAGGUCUCAGUAGACAAGUAUCUAUGUUUUGAGAAACACAGUCCACAUCUUGAGCCAACAAACAUAGCUAAGUUCAGUCUUGUGCAUGCUUUCUCACAGCAAAUGUACAUGAAAGGUAAGGUAGAUAAAUCUGAGUUCUAUGGGGUGCUUUGCUGAUCUGAAAUCUGGUCAUCUUUUUAUGACCAAACCCUGUUACCAGGCCAGCAUGAAUCUCCUUACUUUAUAUGCACGGAAACCUGGACAAUAAUGAAAGUAAAAAAAAAUAGUUGUGGCAGUCUUCAUGUGCUUGGUGACUGUGUAUGCCACGCUGGUUUGGAAACUCAGUGUGAGACAGUCCCCACCCCAUCAAGAGAGGAUGAAGCUUUCAGUUAUGAAUGCCCAUAAAAAAAAAAAUGGAUUUUGUAGUAUAAUUCUAAAAACAAAACAAAACACUUGUUACAAAUCGUUCAGUGUGCCCACAGUAGUUACUGGGGGGAGGGAGUGAAGGGAAAUAAUGUUCUCUUCAACUUCCUUUGACCAGGUGCACAUACCACAAAGGGCUCUCCAGUCAUGUGUGUCCCAUUGAUAGCUUGGAAAACAGUUGCUUAGCUCAUAUAAGUAACACAAAUAUGUCAAUUGCACAAGUAUUUAAAAUGGAUGAAAGAUCAAGCCUCUAGUAAAGCUGAGUGUUUGAUUAGUCCUUUUUUUCUCCCUACAUUUAACUGUCCUGCUGUGAGUUUUUUCUCAAAUUCAUUCAAGUCGGAAUAUAAGGAUUUAAGGUAACAUUAGAGCUUUGUUUCCAUCACUGUAGUGUGUAGAUGGGAAAAUAAUUUGCAAGGACUUGUUUAAUUAACAGAAAUAAAAUGAGGGGCUUCUGUAAAUGUGUGAACUUGAUCACUUUGUGCCGCAGUCUCUUCUGCUUCGGGAUUAUAAUUAUGUUAGCUGCAGGAGUUAAGGGAUGAUGGAAACUCUAGCAGUAGAUAAAGUGUUUCUAUUUCUGGCUCUGUAGGGAUAGAGUAUCAAUCCGCCACAACAGAUGGAGCAAAAGCCCUUGAAGUGCUAUUGUUGAAAUAACUUUGAGACCUGUCAUCUGCUAACAGAUACUGUUUGCAAGCUGGCACUAAGAAGUUUCAGGUUUAUGGCGAGAGAUCCUGCCAAAUGUCCGUCACAGCUGUGUUUUAAGCAAAACCUGACAGGGAAACAAGGUGCUAACUCAUCUGUAGAGAAAGCUAUCUGCUGAACAUCGAAGAUGCCUGGGGAAAACACCAAGAAUGAAUGUCAGCCCUUCUACAAAGAUGAGUAACCUGAACUGCUCCAGAAUCAUAUUCUUAAGUAGGUAAGUCUUGAAAAAAUGUUUUGGGAGUUGUUUCUUUCUGAAG